UGGGGAAUAUUGCACAAUGGGGGAAACCCUGAUGCAGCGACGCCGCGUGGGUGAAGAAGUAUUUCGGUAUGUAAAGCCCUAUCAGCAGGGAAGAAAAUGACGGUACCUGAUCAAGAAGCCCGGCUAACUACGUGCC
rnacentral:rRNA from 1 species